GAUGAAGAACGUAGCGAAAUACGAUAAGUAAUGUGAAUUGCAGAAUUCAGUGAAUCAUCGAAUCUUUGAACGCACAUUGCGCCCCCUGGUAUUCCGGGGGGCAUGCCUGUUCGAGCGUCAUUACAACCCUCAAGCUCUGCUUGGUGUUGGGCCCCGCCGCCCCGGCGGGCCCUAAAAUCAGUGGCGGUGCCGUCCGGCUCCGAGCGUAGUAAUUCUUCUCGCUCUGGAGGUCCGGGUGUGUGCUCGCCAGCAACCCCCAAUUUUUUUCAGGUUGACCUCGGAUCAGGUAGGGAUACCCGCUGAACUUAAGCAUAUCAAUAAGCGGAGGA
rnacentral:misc_RNA from 1 species